rnacentral:rRNA from 1 species
GAUGAACGCUGGCGGCGUGCCUAAUACAUGCAAGUCGAGCGAACAGACGAGGAGCUUGCUCCUCUGACGUUAGCGGCGGACGGGUGAGUAACAUGUGGAUAACCUACCUAUAAGACUGGGAUAACUUCGGGAAACCGGAGCUAAUACCGGAUAAUAUAUUGAACCGCAUGGUUCAAUAGUGAAAGACGGUUUUGCUGUCACUUAUAGAUGGAUCCGCGCCGCAUUAGCUAGUUGGUAAGGUAACGGCUUACCAAGGCAACGAUGCGUAGCCGACCUGAGAGGGUGAUCGGCCACACUGGAACGGAGACACGGUCCAGACUCCUACGGGAGGCAGCAGUAGGGAAUCUUCCGCAAUGGGCGAAAGCCUGACGGAGCAACGCCGCGUGAGUGAUGAAGGUCUUCGGAUCGUAAAACUCUGUUAUUAGGGAAGAACAAAUGUGUAAGUAACUAUGCACGUCUGGACGGUACCUAAUCAGAAAGCCACGGCUAACUACGU